GCGCUGCAGCGCACUGCACUACAGGAGAGCAACAACUGCGCUCAAGUCUGACACUUUUUUAUUUUUGUUUUGUUUUAUUUUAUUUUAUUUUGGAAGGUAACGCAUGUGUGCGCGGGAGGGGAAGACUCACGUGAGUUUGCGUUUUGGUGCUGACUUUAUUAUAUCGUUUCUACCGCAAACCUAAUUAAGGGAUACGUAUCGAUAAAGGUCCAGACAAGUCGCCCUUCAACGCUUGAGAUCUGAUGCUUCCUGCCGUCGCCAUGGAGUCAGAGGCCAGUCACAUGCUGGAGGCUGCGCUGGAGCAGAUGGAUGACAUCAUUGCAGGUUCAAAAGCAGCAGCCAUGGAGUUUUCCAGCGGUACGUUUAACCUGGGCUCUCCUGUUAGUGCUGGUCCGCUGCAAGUGGUGCAGUUAGCCGAGGAACUUAAACUUGCUCUGGAGCUCCAACCCAACCAGGAGGGCAGAGAGAGCCUGAGAGCGCAGCUCCCCUCCGAAACGGCGCAGGCUCUCAUCCACUGGCUGCAGAGCGGAGCUGUGAACCUCUGUUCUCCAGCCAACAAUGAAACCUAUCAAGAACGACUGCUUCGACUAGAGGGAGACAAGGAGUCUCUGGUGCUGCAGGUGAGUGUCCUGACUGACCAAGUGGAGGCGCAGGGAGAGAAGAUCAGAGACCUGGAAAGUUCCUUACAGGAGCAUCGGCAGAAACUGGCCUCCACUGAGGAGAUGCUGCAGCAGGAACUGAUGAGCAGGACUUCUCUGGAGACGCAGAAGCUGGAUCUCAUGGAUGAGGUGUCCUACCUGAAACUGAAGCUGGUCAGCAUGGAGGAGUCCCGCACCAACGCACAGCCGCAAGAUCCCACGGAGACCAAGCAGGACAAAGCCGAGUGUGUGGUAAAUCUCAUCAGUGAGCUCCAGGAGCAGAUGUGCAAGUUUCAGGAGGAGAUAAGCACUCGCAUCCAGGAGAAAAGGGCCCUAGAGGAGCAGGAGGCCCGCCAGGGGGAGCCCGGAGGACGCCCGGCCCAAGGCUGCAGCCCUGCAGUCGGGCUAGCCGGCUCAGACCCGGCCCUGUCUGGGCUCCAGUCCUGGCAGCACAAUGGAGGACGGACUGUGCACGAUUUAAUACAAGAAGUUCAGCAGCUGAAGAGCAAAGUGGAGUCGCUGGAGGGGGAGAAGAGUCAGUAUGAGAGGAAACUCAGAGCCACCAAGGCAGAAAUCUCCGAGCUCCAGCAGCUUUUGGCUUCCAAAGAUGCUGAGAUUGUGUGCCUGCAGACCCAGCUGCUGGCCAGAGGCGGCAGCACCAAUGACAACGCAGAGAGAGACCAGGAAUACCAGAGGCUGAAGGUGGGGAUGGAGUCUUUGCUGGCUUCAAAUGACGAGAAGGAUCGGAGGAUAGAGGAGUUGACCGUUCUGCUGGGACAAUACAGAAAGAUGAGGGACGUCAUGGCAAUCACACAUGGAAGUAGUGAAGAGGAGCUGAGUAGUAGUUUGAAGCUCAGAGCCAUCACUCACAAAGCACACUCUGACAUCGUCAGAUUAGAGAUGUCUUCCAGAGGUUCUUCUCCACUCAUGCUCUCCUCCUCUCCUUUUCAGAGAGAAAUUGAUUCCAGUUUUCAGAACUGCAUGGACACGUCGCUGAUGUCCACAGGUGACACAAGUUUCUUAAACGGAUUAUGGCAUCAGCGCAGGUUACUCUCCAGCAGUCUCGAGGAGUUGCAGAGUGGAUCUUUGCAAAAGGCUGUAGAGAUCCAGCCAGUUGAAAGUGAAUCAGACGUAGGGGCAGAGAGCCCCCACGCAGAGUUAAACAAGUACCAGACUCUUCCCGGGAAGCUGAGCAAAAAGAAGGAGCUGAGGGCGGAGCUGAGCAGCGACAGAGAAAGAGACAGCGAGUAUUUAUCUCCUGUCAAGCUCUCACCUGCCCGUGACAGCGACUACAGUCUGAGGCCUUCGGAGAGGCUGGAGGAGUGUAUGCUGUCAGACCAGUCCCCGCUGUCCUCCGGAGUGGACUCUGGACAGCAGUCCCCUGUCUCCCCAGACAACAGGAAGACCCACAGAGGCAUCAAGAAACUCUGGGGGAAGAUCCGUCGCAGCCAGUCUGGCAGUCCCGUGCAGGUUCACGACCAAGAGACGGCAGACUUUAAGAGGGGAGGCUUCAGAGCCACGGCGGGACCACGACUGGCCAGCUCAGCCAAGACACGAGAUCUAAAGUUGCCGUUUUCUAAGUGGAGCACAGAGCAGGUGUGUGACUGGCUGGAGGACAUCGGACUGGGCCAGUACGGCCUCCUUGCUCGCCAGUGGGUCACCAGCGGCCACACGUUGCUGUCGGCCGUCCCACAAGACCUGGAGAAGGAGCUGUCCAUGAAGAACCCACUCCACAGGAAGAAGCUGCAGCUAUCUCUGAAGAUGUUCGGUAACAAACAGCUGGAGAAGUCUGCAGAGCUCGAUUACAUCUGGGUCACUCGUUGGCUUGAUGAUAUCGGUCUUCCUCAGUACAAAGACCAGUUUAACGACGGAAGAGUGGAUGGAAACAUGCUUCAAUAUCUCACUGUGAAUGACUUGUUAUUCCUCAAAGUGAGCAGCCAGCUGCACCAUCUCAGCAUCAAGUGCGCCAUUCACGUCCUCCACGUCAACAAAUUCAACCCCAACUGCCUCAGACGCAGGCCCAGCAAUGAGAGCCGGUUCAGCCCCAGCGAGGUGGUCCAGUGGUCCAACCACAGGGUGAUGGAGUGGCUGAGGUCGGUGGACCUGGCGGAGUACGCACCCAACCUGAGGGGCAGCGGCGUGCACGGAGGCCUGAUUAUGCUGGAGCCUCGGUUCAGCGCCGACACGCUGGCCAUGCUGCUGAACAUCGCUCCACAAAAAACACUGCUGCGGCGCCACUUAAGCACCAACUUCAACAACCUGGUGGGAGCACAGGCUCAGCAGGAGAAGAGGGAGUACACGGAGGCAGCAGGAUACACCCCCCUCAGCAUCACAGCUAAAGUCAAGCUUAAGAAGUUGGGCUUCUCUAACUUGACCCACCUGAGGAGGAGGCGCUCAGACGAGUCCACGGACUACGUCUGUCCCAUCAAGUCGUCGUCCCCCCAGUCGGGCCAGGCGGCGGUGAACGGGGUGCAGGUGCGGCCGUACGCCGGCUUCAGGGGCCUGAGCCCCAUCCUGGACCGAGAGCCCCCCAGGGACCAGGUGGGGCCCGAGGACAGCAAAGCCGACGCAUCACCAUGACAACGCCCAGGCGGCGCUGUGUUAACAUCACGGACAUGCGGUCACACGUUCUGAUCAGUUCUCACCGCUGCCACUCUGCUUCCCCUGCUUGAAGGCCAUCUUACCCCCCCCCCCUCCCUGAACGCCCAUCAGCCUGACCCCGUGCCUUAGUCCUGAGACUCAGAGACUCCCACAUAACCCCACCUGACUAAUUCAUGCUGCAGGGUGCAUGGAAACCAUCAAUCCAGCACACUUGAAGUCUUUUUCGGUUUCACUUCGAGUCAGAUGCCUAACUAACCCAGACUCGGCCUCGAACCUGUGCCAUGAUCUAACUCAGCACAUCACGAGGGGGCGCUGCCUCUCCAGGUCCCUGUGACAUCCUGUCCUGUAACCCGUACGACAUGUGUACAAGCUCACUGUCCAGUAUGAAGCCGUUUGUGCUCCAACAGUGGAUGUUUUUAUAUGUAUGAGUCCGACAUUACAUCAUUUACACCUUUUGAUUUUUCUAAACCAGCUUGAAUAAAGUUACGUGACAUGGCUGCAAUGAAACUGUGCAAUAUUUGCAUACAUUAAGGGAGGGACUUUAUUUAAUAUUUAUGUAACUGCAGAGUGAGUGAUGAAACAGCAUGUUUUGUUUGAUACCUGAGGUAGUGAUUUUAAACUGUUAUUUUCAUAUUUGACUGUAAUAGUAUUUUUAUAGCAAAGAAAAUCUGCUAAAGGAAGCUCACAUAUGUAAAUGUUAAAAAAAUUGAUCAAAUCGUUGAAUAAACAAAAUCAUAAGUGUGUAAAGUUGGUUCCUGUUCUCUAAUAUCAAAGAUUUCAUCGUUCGAGUAGAAGUAAAAUGUGACUUUUAUUCUUUUUCAGUUUUAUGGAUGAAACAUUCAUUAAAUUCUACAUUUUUAUGAACAAAUCAAUACCAUUUAUUAAAAAAAAAAGAGAGUUUCCAUGUGGACAGACAGACUGCUGCUUUGUGGAGCCUUGCAGAGCAGCAUGCCUCAGUAACCUGCAUCAACCACUAACCAUCAUCAUCAUCAUCCUCACCAUCAUGGCUGUUAAUGCCGCCAGCUUCCCCCCCCCUCCACGGGCCGCGCUGGCUGACGACCGCUGCCAUGGCAACCACGUUAAAGGUGGCAUGGGGAGAGUGCAUGUUUGAGCGUGGCUCGGUCUGAACCCGCAGAUGGCGAAUGCGGAGAGCACCAUUUUGCAAAUAGAAGCUUUGUCUGAAGGCAUCAGCAACCUCACA